ACAGCUAAUGCAGAAAAACUGUAUGAUGCAAAUAUUACUAAGAUUUUAACAUUUGCAACAUUCCUGCUUUCUAUUAGCAAUCUACGUUAAGGAGCUCAAAACAAAAAUAAAAGAAUCAACCAGGUUACUGUCUGAUAAGCACCUUCUGCGAAAUUUCCAAGUUACAGUCAAAUCACAGAUUCCGAGAAAUAAAUAUUUAACUCAGCA